rnacentral:lncRNA from 1 species
AAGCUGAGUAUAAAGCCCUCAUCACCCAACUCUAGCUUGUGAAAGAACUCAGGAUAAAAGACCUCAAGGUCUUCCUCGAGUCGUAGCUUAUCGUUGGACAAGUCUAGGGUGAAUACGAGGUCCAAUGAUGAUCAGGUAUCUACAAAAACUCAAGGAGAUGUCAACAGCCUUCCAAACCUUGAAAGUCUAAUAGAUACCA